rnacentral:rRNA from 1 species
ACGGAAGGCAGCAGUGGGGAAUAUUGGGCAAUGGGCGAAAGCCUGACCCAGCAACGCCGCGUGAGGGAAGAAGGUUUUCGGAUUGUAAACCUCUGUCCUCAGGGACGAAGGAAGUGACGGUACCUGAGGAGGAAGCCCCGGCUAACUACGUGCCAGCAGCCGCGGUAAUACGUAGGGGGCGAGCGUUGUCCGGAAUGACUGGGCGUAAAGGGCGCGUAGGCGGCCGAUUAAGUCUGGAGUGAAAUCCCCGCUUUUAAGGUGGGAAUUGCUUUGGAGACUGGUUGGCUUGAGUGCAGAAGAGGUAAGUGGAAUUCCCAGUGUAGCGGUGAAAUGCGUAGAGAUUGGGAGGAACACCAGUGGCGAAGGCGACUUACUGGGCUGUAACUGACGCUGAGGCGCGAAAGCGUGGGGAGCGAACAGGAUUAGAUACCCUGGUA